AUUUUGAUAGCUUAUUAAAGAGCAUGAUAUUGAAGAUAUCAAGGAAAUAAUUUUAUUUUAAAAUA
rnacentral:tRNA from 1 species